UACGAAGGGGGCUAGCGUUGCUCGGAAUCACUGGGCGUAAAGCGCACGUAGGCGGAUUUUUAAGUCAGGGGUGAAAUCCUGGAGCUCAACUCCAGAACUGCCUUUGAUACUGGGGAUCUCGAGUCCGGGAGAGGUGAGUGGAACUGCGAGUGUAGAGGUGAAAUUCGUAGAUAUUCGCAAGAACACCAGUGGCGAAGGCGGCUUCCUGGCCUGUUCUUGACGCUGAGGCGCGAAAGCUAGGGGAGCAAACGGG
rnacentral:rRNA from 1 species